GUGCGGUUCAAGAUUGGAGAUCUCUAAAAGAACCCCAUUUUUUGGAGAUACUUAUUGGAGCAGAGGUGAAUUAUAAGGUUUCACUCUCCUUGAGGAAAUUAGGGAAAAUCACAACAUCUGACUUCAACUUAAUUGUAAAUUUUUGUUUUGAUGAAGCCAAUUUAGACACCACAUCAUUUGAAAAGAACAUGUGAUUGGAUGUAGCAUUAGGAAUUUAAUCCCGUCCUAACCAGUGGUAAAUUAUUUUCUCACAAAAACGGAUUGUAAACCCCUGAUGAAGUCCUAACGGACGAAACGCGUUGGGUUUCGCAGUAUUGGGUCAAAAAAGUCACCACCACAAGCAUCUGGUUGGAUACACGUCCUUUUCAAGUUCUGAUUGUGAUUACCUGACUAUAAAUUCCUCAUAUCAACUAAAAAUG